rnacentral:rRNA from 1 species
UAUUGCACAAUGGGGGAAACCCUGAUGCAGCGACGCCGCGUGAGUGAAGAAGUAUUUCGGUANGUAAAGCUCUAUCAGCAGGGAANNNNNNNANGGUACCUGACUAAGAAGCCCCGGCUAACUACGUGCCNNNANCCGCGGUAAUACGUAGGGGGCAAGCGUUAUCCGGAUUUACUGGGUGUAAAGGGAGCGUAGACGGCCAGACAAGUCAGAAGUGAAAGCCCAGGGCUCAACCCUGGGACUGCUUUUGAAACUGCCGGGCUGGAGUGCAGGAGAGGUGAGCGGAAUUCCUAGUGUAGCGGUGAAAUGCGUAGAUAUUAGGAGGAACACCAGUGGCGAAGGCGGCUUACUGGACUGUAACUGACGUUGAGGCUCGAAAGCGUGGGGAGCAAACAGG